UACGUAGGGUGCGAGCGUUGUCCGGAAUUAUUGGGCGUAAAGAGCUUGUAGGCGGUUUGUCGCGUCUGCUGUGAAAAUCCGGGGCUCAACCCCGGACUUGCAGUGGGUACGGGCAGACUAGAGUGUGGUAGGGGAGACUGGAAUUCCUGGUGUAGCGGUGAAAUGCGUAGAUAUCAAGAGGAACACCGGUGGCGAAGGCGGCUCUCUGGACAGAUACUGACGCUGAGGCUCUAAAGUUAGGGGAGCAAACAGGAUUAGAUACCCGCGUAGU
rnacentral:rRNA from 1 species